rnacentral:rRNA from 1 species
CACGUCCUUUAGAUUAAAAUUUAAGGUUUGGUCUGCUCAAUGAGGUUUUAAAUUGCCGCAGUAUUUUAACUGUGCGAAGGUAGCAUAAUAAUUAGUUUCUUAAUUGGAAGCUGGAAUGAAUGAUUGGACGAGAAAAUUACUGUCUCUUGGGAAGGGUUUAUUUAAUUUUAUUAUUAAGUUAAAAAGCUUAAAUUUGAGUAAAAGACGAGAAGACCCUAUAGAGUUUAAUAUUUAAGGCUUAUUAAUUUUUAGUAAAUUUAUUUAGUUUUAAUUAUUUAGUUGGGGUGACUUAAAGAUUAAUUAAAUUCUUUAAAUAUUUAAUUAUUGAUAAAUAAUUUUUAAAUCUAGUUUUUUAAAUUUAAAAUAAAUUACCUUAGGGAUAACAGCGUAAUUUUUCUUUAAAGCUCUUAUUGAAAGAAGAUUUUGCGACCUCGAUGUUGGAUUAAAAUUAAUUUUUGGUGCAGUUACUAAAAAAUUGAGUCUGUUCGACUUUUAAAAUUUUACAUGAUCUGAGUUUAAACCGGUGUAAGCCAGGUUGGAUUCUAUCUUUAUUAUUUUUUUAUAUUAUAGUACGAAAGGACCUAAUAUAGAUUAUAGAAUAAUUA